CUAAUACCGCAUAAMGUUGAGAGACCAAAGCAUGGGACCUACGGGCCAUGCGCCAUUUGAUGAACCCAUAUGGGAUUAGCUAGUUGGUGRGGUAAUGGCUCACCAAGGCGACGAUCUCUAGCUGGUCUGAGAGGAUGACCAGCCACACUGGAACUGAGACACGGUCCAGACUCCUACGGGAGGCAGCAGUGGGGAAUAUUGCACAAUGGGGGGAACCCUGAUGCAGCCAUGCCGCGUGUAUGAAGAAGGCCUUCGGGUUGUAAAGUACUUUCGGUGAUGAGGAAGGUGAUGAAUCUAAUAGGUUUAUUAAUUGACGUUAAUCACAGAAGAAGCACCGGCUAACUCCGUGCCAGCAGCCGCGGUAAUACGGAGGGUGCGAGCGUUAAUCGGAAUGACUGGGCGUAAAGGGCAUGUAGGCGGAUAAUUAAGUUAGGUGUGAAAGCCCUGGGCUCAACCUAGGAAUUGCACUUAAAACUGGUUAACUAGAGUAUUGUAGAGGAAGGUAGAAUUCCACGUGUAGCGGUGAAAUGCGUAGAGAUGUGGAGGAAUACCGGUGGCGAAGGCGGCCUUCUGGACAGAUACUGACGCUGAGAUGCGAAAGCGUGGGGAGCAAACAGGAUUAGAUACCCUGGUAGUCCACGCUGUAAACGAUGUCGAUUUGGAGUUUGUUGCCUAGAGUGAUGGGCUCCGAAGCUAACGCGAUAAAUCGACCGCCUGGGGAGUACGGCCGCAAGGUUAAAACUCAAAUGAAUUGACGGGGGCCCGCACAAGCGGUGGAGCAUGUGGUUUAAUUCGAUGCAACGCGAAGAACCUUACCUGGUCUUGACAUCCACAGAAUCUUGUAGAGAUACGAGAGUGCCUUCGGGAACUGUGAGACAGGUGCUGCAUGGCUGUCGUCAGCUCGUGUUGUGAAAUGUUGGGUUAAGUCCCGCAACGAGCGCAACCCUUAUCCUUUGUUGCCAUCGAUUAGGUCGGGAACUCAAAGGAGACUGCCGUUGAUAAAGCGGAGGAAGGUGGGGACGACGUCAAGUCAUCAUGGCCCUUACGACCAGGGCUACACACGUGCUACAAUGGCGUAUACAAAGGGAGGCGACCUCGCGAGAGUAAGCGGACCUCACAAAGUACGUCUAAGUCCGGAUUGGAGUCUGCAACUCGACUCCAUGAAGUCGGAAUCGCUAGUAAUCGUGAAUCAGAAUGUCACGGUGAAUACGUUCCCGGGCCUUGUACACACCGC
rnacentral:rRNA from 1 species